rnacentral:lncRNA from 1 species
CUAAAAUUAAAUUCAGUUUGUUUCUGCAUAAAUCUUUUGAGUACUAAACUGCUUUGGAAUGAAUUUUUCUGGGGGACAACAGCAGGAUUAGAGCCAUCCUCUAGAUGCCAUCAGGUAGGUGCGCAAGCGUAGUCGUUUGUUGUAGCAUUAUAUCCCUUUCCCCCUUUUUAAAAAAUGUUUGUAAGACGCCUGAAAUUUGUAUAAGUUAGUUAUAUAAGUAGUUGAAUAAGAAUUGGUGAGACAUGGAAAAGAGAAGAGGACAGAGAAGAUGGAAGAGGAUUUCUUUGAAAUAGAAGGAAAGGAGAUAGGAGAUGUUUGAGGAAAGGAGGAGGAUUUUGUUCGCCGUAAUGGAAGUUUUUUUUCCAAAAAUUUGGAGCAACUGUAUUAAGAUGUUAUUGGUAUCUUGGACGUCAAGUUUCAUUUAUUUAUGUAUUAUACAAGCAUAUCUAUUGGUGGAAAUGUAGAAUGGCAGCUGUUAUAACAACUUGGAUGAAUUAUUAGAAACACCAAAGAAGUUUUGACAUAAUUUAAACUGGGAAAAGGCUCACAGAUGACCAAUUUAUUCUACAGUAGAUACAGGACAUUAAAUUGACUUCAGCAACGCAGAUAUCUCUCAAAAAUGAUAUCUGUUCGAGUGAUGUACUGGGCCUUGACAGUUGCUGUUACAAAUCUGCAAAUGAGUUACUACUGUACAUAAGUUGGAGGAAUGCCAAGGAAUUUUUUGAAUAAAAUGAUACUGAAAAUCUUACCCACCAAUGACAAUUUUAAGAUACAAUCAAUAGUAUUUGGAUUGAUUGGCCUUAUUACUGUUGCGCUAUGAAAAUGUAAGCAAUACAAAUUGGUAUUAAUGGACGUUUUGACAGCUGUUUCCAGUCCAAGUUCCAGUUUUAAUGGAAAAUCUUUAAUGGACACAGAAAAAUGACAUUUACUGGAUUGGCUUCAACACCUGUUGCCUUUUAAUAAAGGUAUACAAUGGGACAAUCGCUGUUAGAAGUCAACAAGUAGUACUAAUUGCAAAUAAUAUAUUAUGGCGGACAUCAAAAAGCUUUAAAUGGAAUGAAACUUGCAGAAAAAGACUCAGAAAGACCAUUUAGGACGCAGAAAAAGACUCAGAAAGUCCAUUUAGAACUGUACUUAGUAGCUGUUAGAGUGGAUGCAGUCCUUCAUCAAUGUGAGCUGAAGAAAUUGAUAAGGGACAUUUUGACAGCUACUGUCACAACUCAACGAACAAGUUGCAGCUUUGAAGGAACAUAUUUGAUUGGAUACAGAAAAAUGUCAGUCGUUUCAGGAUGUAAAGUUAAUAGAACCAUGGUUGUGCUCGACAUCUGUUACCUUUUAAUAAUGGCAUACGAUAGGACAAUUGCGAUAAGCCAAACUAGCUGCAAAUAAUAUGUAUGGUGGUUAUAAAAGAGAUUUAAAUGGAAUGAAACUUGUGCAGAAGAAAUCGGGGAAAACCAUUUUGAACUGCUGUUACUUAAUAGCUGUUAGAGCGGAUCCAGUUCUUCAUCAAUGGUAUAAGAUGGGAUAAUUGCUGUUAAAAAUCCACAAGCUGUACUAUCUGCAAAUAUUAUGGUGGACACCAAAAAGCUUUACAUGGAAUGAAAUUUACAGGGAAAGACUCAGAAAGACCAUUGAGGACUGUACUUAAUAGCUGUUAGUAUGGUCGCAGUCCUUCGUCACUGAUAUCUCUGCAUUUUCUUAACAAUGGAUAUACCAACAGUUGCUCCUACUCCUCACUUUCCUCUUUCACUCAACAUAAAGCAGACUCAAUACUCCUCAAUGCCUCACCAGGGUUCGUUAGCUUCAUUAAUAUUGUUAUUGUUUCAAUAAAUUUGUUUACUGGUUUUUAUCCUCUUCUUAACUAUUUAAGUAUAUCAGGCGUCAUAUUAGUGUUAUUGAUUUUUUGUAAAAUUUUGAUAAUCUGGA